rnacentral:tRNA from 1 species
GCCUGGGUGGCUCAGUAGGUUAAGCAUCUGACUUCAGCUCAGGUCAUGAUCUCAUAGUUUGUGAGUUCAAGCCCCGCAUCAGGCU